rnacentral:rRNA from 1 species
AACGAACGCUGGCGGCAUGCCUAACACAUGCAAGUCGAACGAGACCUUCGGGUCUAGUGGCGCACGGGUGCGUAACGCGUGGGAACCUGCCCUUAGGUUCGGAAUAACUCCCCGAAAGGGGUGCUAAUACCGGAUAAUGUCUUCGGACCAAAGAUUUAUCGCCUUUGGAUGGGCCCGCGUUGGAUUAGCUAGUUGGUAGGGUAAAAGCCUACCAAGGCGACGAUCCAUAGCUGGUCUGAGAGGAUGAUCAGCCACACUGGGACUGAGACACGGCCCAGAAUCCUACGGGAGGCAGGAGUGGGGAAUAUUGGACAAGGGGCGAAAGCCUGAUCCAGCAAUGCCGCGUAAGUGAUGAAGGCCUUAGGGUUGUAAAGCUCUUUUACCCGGGAUGAUAAUGACAGUACCGGGAGAAUAAGCUCCGGCUAACUCCGUG